AAAGAAUUAGUUAAUAAAUAACAUAAAUAUGUCAAAUUUAAAUUAUUGCUUGAGCAAUAUUCUUUU
rnacentral:tRNA from 1 species